GUUGGUGAUUUUAACGAGAUCUUGUUCUCUCAUGAAAAGGAGGGUGGUAACCUGAGACCGGUUAAAAUGAUGGAGGACUUUAGGGAGGUACUCGCUGAUUGUGGUUUAGAGGAUCUUGGUUAUUCUGGAGAUUUAUUCACUUGGCGCAGAGGUCGUAUCAAGGAGCGUCUUGAUCGUGCUGUAGGGAACGGAUUGUGGCAAUGUCUAUUUCCUGCAGCUACUGUAACAAAUGGAGAACAUAGUAAAUCAGACCAUCGUCCGCUUAUA
rnacentral:rRNA from 1 species